CAUUAGGGAGACAAUCAUACAAGCAGGAAAACCACGACAGACUGUUUAAGUUUACUAAUCCUGACAUUUUUCUACUCAUGUACAUGUCUCAGGCUCAUCCAGACUCAGAGAACCAAUCAGAGCUCUGCUAUCGUCCAAACGGUAAACCAAGAUGAAAAUGAGCAGCAAGUAUACUCCUCUCUUCUCCAUGGUCAUGUUUGUGACUAUGAAAAAAUCAGUGGCUUUGGAAAGAAUAUGCGUGGUGACAGACUUGCAGACAUGAAUUCAGAAUACAGCCAUGUCGUAUCUGAGUUUCAGCUCAAAGGUCUUGGAAAGAGGAGAAUACGAAAUCAUCCCACAAGGAGCCUUGACUAUUGUAAUGUGAUUCCACACACACCUGCAGGUCCAUAAAGAGAAGUGCAUCAUCAUCGGAUUAUAUGAAAUAAUUACAAUUCUGUUAUGUUAGAUUUAAUUUUCCUGUUGAUUUCUGCUGAAUUUGCUUUUGUAUUUAUACUUAUUAUACAUAUUUUAUUGCAAUUAAGUAGUAAUUCUAUAGGUUAGAUGGCAGAGGACUAUAUACAGACGUGGACAAAAUUGUUGGUACCCUUCCUUUAAAGAAAGAAAAACCCACAAUGGUGCCUGAAAUAAGUUGAAAUUGACAAAAUGUAUUAAUAGAUAAAAUAAUAACUGAAAAUUAACUGAUGAAAUUUGAACUGAGGGUUCAACAGGAUUAUUUUAAAAAACAAACUAAUGAAACAAGCCUGGACAAAAAUGAUGGUAACCUGAACUUAAUAUUUUGUGCACUGCAAUCAACUCUUAAUGAGGCUUCAGCACUUGUCAACAGGUAUUUUGGCCCACUCCUCAUUAGCAAACUGCUCCAGCUGUUUCAGGUACGAAAGGUACCUUCUCCAAACUGCAUGUUUCAGCUCCUUCCACAGAUGUUCAGUAGGAUUUAGAUCAGGGCUCAUAGAGGGCCACUUCAUAAUAGUCCAAUGUUUUGCUCUUAGCCAUUCUCGGGUGGUUUUAGCUGUUGCAGGACCCAUGAUCUGUAACUGAGACCAAGAUUCCUCACACUGGGCAGCACAUUUUGCUCCAGAAUGACUUGAUAGUCUUGAGAUUUCAUUAACCCUGUACAGAUUUAAGACGCCCUGUGCCAGAUGCAAAGCAGCCCAAAACACAACUGAGCCUCCUCCAUGCUUCACAGUAGGUUCAGUGUUCUUUUCUUUGUAUGCUUCAUUUUUGCGUCUGCGAACUUAGAGCUGAUGUGACUUGCCAAACAGCGCCAGUUUUGUCUCAUCUGUCCAAAGGACAUUCUCCCACAAGCUUUUUAGCUUGUCAAUAUGCAUUCAGUCUCGCUUUUUUAUGAUUUGCUUUCAACAGUGGUGUCCUCCUCGGUCCACUUUGGCUCAAACAGCGACGGAUGGUGCGAUCUGACACUGAUGUAUCUUGACCUUGGAGUUCAUCUCUAAUGUCAGUGGAAGUUGUUUUGGGCUCUUUGCUUACCAUUCAUAUUAUCCGUCUCUUAGAUUUGUCCUGAAUUUUCCUCUUGCGGCCACGUCCAUGGACCUUAAACUUCUGAACAAUAUGUGCAACUGUAGUCACAGGAACACCAAGCUGCAUGGAACUGGUCUUAUAGCCUUUACCUUUAACAAGCUUUUCUAUAAUUAUCUUUCUUUUAACAUGUCCUUAUGGUCAAAUUAUUUCCAAUCUUUUCUAGGGGUACCAUCAUUUUUGUCCAGGCCAGUUUCAUAAGUUUGUUUUUUUACAAUGAUUCUGUUAAACCACAAUUAAAAAACAAUUUCAUUUUCAGUAUUUUUUUAUUUAUUAUUAUUUUAGUUUAUUAUGUUAUUUCAGGGUGUUUCUUUAACAGAAGGGUACCAACAAUUUUGUCCAUGUCUGUAUAUAGUUGUAUUUUACUCUUUUACUUGUCGCUGUAUACAAAACAGACAAGUCUGGCAAAACAACCAAAACACAGACAAACCGAGAGAUACGCUGUCCAGCUGGUUGAUUCUGAAAUCAGAAAUACUUCAUUAAUCCCCGAGGGGAAAUUUUUGUGUUACAGUUGCACACAUUGCACAUCAAGGCAUAAGAAAUAGAAAUAAUAUUAGAAAGAAGGUAAUAUUGCAGAUGUUCAGGACAGCUACAAAUACCUUGGGGUCCACAGGGAAACAGAAACCAUGAGGAGGCAACAAGGAAGUCCACCACAGCCAAAUACUUACAAGGGUAAAGCAGGUCCUGAAAAGUCAGCUGAAUGGGAAGAACAAGAUACAAGCCAUCAAAAACAUACGCCCUGCCAGUCAUCAGGUAUAAUAAACUGGCCAAAAGAGGAGAUAGAGGCUACUGACAUCAAGACAAGAAAGCUCAUCACAAUGCAUGGAGGG